rnacentral:rRNA from 1 species
UGAGGAAUAUUGGUCAAUGGGCGGAAGCCUGAACCAGCCAAGUCGCGUGAGGGAUUAAGGCCCUGCGGGUCGUAAACCUCUUUUGCCGGGGAGCAGAGGUCCGGACGUGUCCGGGCCGGGAGAGUACCCGGAGAAAAAGCAUCGGCUAACUCCGUGCCAGCAGCCGCGGUAAUACGGAGGAUGCGAGCGUUAUCCGGAUUUAUUGGGUUUAAAGGGUGCGUAGGCGGGCAUUUAAGCCGGCGGUCAAAUGUCGGGGCUCAACCCCGGCCUGCCGUCGGAACUGGGUGCCUUGAGUGGGCGAGAAGUAUGCGGAAUGCGUGGUGUAGCGGUGAAAUGCAUAGAUAUCACGCAGAACCCCGAUUGCGAAGGCAGCAUACCGGCGCCCUACUGACGCUGAGGCACGAAAGUGCGGGUAUCGAACAGG